rnacentral:rRNA from 1 species
GGGCAUCCCGGAGGCAGGAAAGGCUUCGGCCGGACAGGGAUGGGCAUGCGGCGCAUUAGGCAGUAGGCGGGGUAACGGCCCACCUAACCGACGAUGCGUAGGGGUUCUGAGAGGAAGGUCCCCCACACUGGUACUGAGACACGGACCAGACUCCUACGGGAGGCAGCAGUGAGGAAUAUUGGUCAAUGGUCGGGAGACUGAACCAGCCAAGCCGCGUGAGGGAGGAAGGUACAGAGUAUCGUAAACCUCUUUUGUCAGGGAACAAAGACUGGGACGCGUCCCCGGAUGAGUGUACCUGAAGAAAAAGCAUCGGCUAACUCCGUGCCAGCAGCCGCGGUAAUACGGAGGAUGCGAGCGUUAUCCGGAUUUAUUGGGUUUAAAGGGUGCGCAGGCGGUCUGUUAAGUCAGCGGUCAAAGCCCGGGGCUCAACCCCGGCCCGCCGUUGAAACUGGCAGUCUCGAGUUGGAGAGAAGUAUGCGGAAUGCGCGGUGUAGCGGUGAAAUGCAUAGAUAUCGCGCAGAACUCCGAUUGCGAAGGCAGCAUGCCGGCUCCACACUGACGCUGAGGCACGAAAGCGUGGGUAUCGAACAGGAUUAGAUACCCUGGUAGUCCACGCAGUAAACGAUGAAUGCUGGCUGUCCGGGGGGACUGACCCCUGGGUGGCGAAG